AAGAUGACUGCCGGAGUGAGGAGGAAGAGAUGGAGGAAGGUGAAGGAGUUCCACCGGAGUACCCCUUUAAGGAAUCUUGCCAGCUGGAAAGUUUUGUUUUUCCACCCUGAAGGGUUAAUCUAACAAACCCAGCUUCUGCAUUUGGCUCAAAAAUUCCUCUGGUAUUCUGCUCACUCAUUCUAACAUCCACUGCUCAGGAAGGGGUGUGUCUGAGAAAAACACUGAGCCCGCCCUCACUCACCAUGCAUUCCCCCCUGAAUCUGCUGUGCUACCUCUCUUCAUCCAAUCACUGAAGGCUGUCCUGUAACCCAGUAAUGCUGCAGUCUGGAGUGCUAGUCCCACCCUCACUUCCUGGACUUUGUUCCAGUCUGUGCUUCAGCUGGGACAAAAAUGAAGCUGCAGCUGGACACGAUUAUGUUCUGGAUGGUAUUUAUGUUUUAUAAGCCAUAAUCUCUAUAAAGAGAAGAUACAUUGUUUUCAUUUAGUAUAUUAAAAAGAUAAAAUUUUUGCCAUAUGUACAACAUAUACUGUGAAAAAUGUACAAAAAUGUACUAUAAUACAACCGAGAAGAAAGCAAUGUUUUAGUAAAAUCCUUGUCUACUAUUAAAGGUGUC